GUCAGAGUCGGGUCAGCACCAGCCAGCAGCAGCACUUCGGCCGCCUGCUUCUGCCGAGUGAUGACCGCCAGGUGAAGAGGAGUCUGGGAAUUGUCGGAGAGGUCAGAGAGACCAUCUUGUAUUUUGAUUCAGGCGUUAAUCUGGAUUAUCUGCUGGAUUUGGACCCUAAUCUGAUCCUAACUCAACUUGCAGGACGGAUCCUCCUGGUUUUUCUUUCUCCCUGAAACCGUGUCCCCGAUCCCUGCAGAACCUGGUACCUGGUACAGGUGGUUCCUCAUGUUGAGCAGCUCCUCUCCCGUC